rnacentral:rRNA from 1 species
GAUCAUGGCUCAGGAUGAACGCUGACAGAAUGCUUAACACAUGCAAGUCAACUUGAAUUUGGGUUUUUAACUUAGAUUUGGGUGGCGGACGGGUGAGUAACGCGUAAAGAACUUGCCUCACAGCUAGGGACAACAUUUAGAAAUGAAUGCUAAUACCUGAUAUUAUGGUUAUAGGGCAUCCUAUAAUUAUGAAAGCUAUAUGCACUGUGAGAGAGCUUUGCGUCCCAUUAG